UCUCGUAGGUGACCUGCGGAGGGAUCAUUACAGAGACUCUGCCCUUUGGGUAGACCUCCCACCCUGUGUCGUUAUACCUUUGUUGCUUUGGCGGGCCGCGGGGCCCCGGCCCUGCCCCUGGCUCCGGCUAGGGCGCGCCCGCCAGAGGACCUCAAAACCUGAAUGUUAGUGUCGUCUGAGUACUAUAUAAUAGUUAAAACUUUCAACAACGGAUCUCUUGGUUCUGGCAUCGAUGAAGAACGCAGCGAAAUGCGAUAAGUAAUGUGAAUUGCAGAAUUCAGUGAAUCAUCGAAUCUUUGAACGCACAUUGCGCCCCUUGGUAUUCCGGGGGGCAUGCCUGUUCGAGCGUCAUUACAACCCUCAAGCUCUGCUUGGUCUUGGGCGUCACCGGUCCGCCGGUGUGCCCUAAAAUCAGUGGCGGCGCCAUCUGGCUCUAAGCGUAGUACAUACUCUCGCUACAGACGUCCGGUGGAUGCUGGCCAGCAACCCCCAAUUUAUCAAGGUUGACCUCGGAUCAGGUAGGGAUACCCGCUGAACUUAAGCAUAUCAUA
rnacentral:rRNA from 1 species